UACCACUUUGUACUUACGAUCUUGUAUCCACUGACUGUCUUGUUAGAUUAACCCAAUAAAUUUUAUUCACUCCGCAUACUCAAUCCUAUAGAUACCUUUUUAAUCCUUCAAUCACAGACGUAACUUGAUUUCAUAAAACAGUCAAGAGUAAUCAAACCCACUUCAUUAGAAAAAAUCCCGAUUCACCAUUACAACACUGACUUCAGCAACGAUUGCCUUAGUCUUCCCAAAACUCUAUGAAGAAAAAAAAUCCAAUUCUCCGUCUUUUCUUCCCCGACCCGAAGCAUGAAGCUCCUCUCCAAUCCCCUUGAUCUUCAAAAACCUCUAAUGAAAAAAAACUCGUAACCUUGCCAAGAGCUUGAAGCUAGCUCUUUCCUGAUCCCAAAAAAAAAAAAACCCCCCGUUGAUCUCUUCUUCCCCUAACCUUAUCCUCUGAAUUUCUUCAAUCUUCCAUCUUGAAUCCAGAAUUAGCUCCCAUCGUCAGAGCUUAGAUCCGAAAUUGGCUCCCGCCAUCAGAGCUUUCGAAAUGGCACAGAGAAUAGGACAGCCUGAAACAGAAUCGAAACCCCGUACUCGGGUCCACAUUGAGUCGCCCGACCAAUUCAGGUCUCAUAUUGGGUAAGAGGACCCGUAGUAACCUGGAUGUUCCCGUAAUCAGACUGCAUUGGGUUGCCCGACCAAUUCAGGUCUCAUAUUGGAUAAGAGGACCCGGAUUGGAUUCUCGAAAUUGGAUCGCAUUGGGUUGCCCGACCAAUUCAGGUCUCAUAUUGGGUAAGAAGACCUGGAUUGGAUUCUCAAAAUUGGAUCCAAUUGGCUCUUCGAACCAAGCUCACCCGUCACGUGAAUUGGUCCUUUCCCUUCCUGUUGACUCCCGUUAUUGGAAUCAAACGGAGCAUUUCAGUAUGCCCCAGCUCACUGUAACGGGGUGACUGAACCUGACCACUCAGUAUUUGCACUGGAGUUGGUCGUUGCUUCCAAUAUUCGAGGUAACUGAAUAUUAAUUAAAGUCCCUUUUCUUUAUAUUUUCACGGUAUACUCGUGUUACAACACGACAUCCACCCCCUCUGAACCUGUGCAUCCUCCGGUAUGCACCAAUUUACCCAAUUGCUGUUUGAUUCAGAAUAUAUCCUCUACGUCUUUGUCCUGUUCGUCUUUGUCACCUUCAUUAUCUAAAUCACUUUCAUCUUCUUGCUGCUGAAUUUCUAUACCUUCAUUAAGGUCUUCCAUAUUCAUCUCUACGUGUCUUCGUUUAAAUAUUUUUACUCGCUUCUCUGCAAUUGGUAUUUUCAAUUUUGUACCAUCUAACUCCCGCAACAAGUAAGUCGCAUUACCAUGAACAGUUGUUACCACAUAUGGUCCAAACCAAUGUUUUGAAAAUUUCCGCAAAGUACUAUGUUGAUUAUCCAGACUAUUGUCAUAAACAAGUACCCAGUCACCUUCCUCGAUUGCUUUUGGUCUCAAUCGAUGUUGCUUAUCGAAUCGCGCCUUGUUUUGUAACCGUUCUCUUUUUAACCUUCCCAAUGCUAUUUGGACAUCUUCCAUUCAUUGCUCCAAUUGUCGAAUCCUAAUAGCCAGAAGUUCUUCUCUUGUCAAUCCAUCUUCCUAUGGUAGCAUACUCCAAGUAAGUACCUUUUCUUCAAUUGGCAUAAUUGGUUUUAGACCUGUCAUAAGUUCUACUGGCAUAUAUCCUGUCACCGAACUAUGUGUUGUUCGAUCAGCCCAUAAUACAAAUGACAAAAGCCGUGGCCACUCUUUAACUUUCCCAUUACAAGCUUUAACUAAUGCUUUCACAAUAGGUGGGUGACCGUGUUCGCUUUUUACAUUCCCUUCUGGAUUAUAAGCAGUAGUCAGUGAUAGUUUAACUCCACAUCUUUCAAAGAACUUACGAGCUUCUUGUGCAUUUAAUUCUCCACGAUCUGCAGUGAUUUUUCGUAUGCAUCCGUAGCAGCAAAUGACAUCUUCAAGCAAAAACCUACAAAUCCCCUCUGUAGAUUUUGUCCUCAAUGCUCUUCCUUCUACUUGAUUUGAUAAAUCUUCACGAGCUAAAACCAAAUAUCUCAUCUGCUAUAACCCAAUCGGCAUAAUAACCAAAUCAACAACCCAUUUAAAAUGAAUAGCUAGAGGAUACGUAGGAUGAAGACCAUCUCGAUGUCGGAUAUUAGAAUACGAUUGACAGAUUUUACAUGACUCUACAAAUGAGAGCACAUCUCGAUACAUAUUUUUCCACCAAUAUCGUUCCUUGAGUUUAGCAAAAGUAGCACAGAUUUUUCUAUGUCAUACCCAUAAACUAUCAUGGAACUCCUUUAAUAAUUUUAGUUUUUCAUCCUUUUUGCCUAUCACUCGUUGUGGCAUCCCAAUUCCUUUCUUCGGUCUCUUCCAUAAGAAUCCAUCUCGAAGUAAAAAUCCAUAUGCUUUUUUUCUUAUUUGUUUGAAUUUUUCUAUAGACCAAUUCCCUUGCUUAGUCAAGGUAUUCAAGUAAUGACCAAUAUCCAAUAAUUCUCUUUCAUAAGCUUCUUCAAGAAAUAGCUUGUCUUCUCUGUUGAGAUUUGAUAUUGAAUAGAAUUUCGAUCCGAUGUCAUCAAUGUCUUCAACCAUUUCGUCCUCCUUCUCGUAUCUUGCUCGAGAUAGCAUGUCUGCUACUAAAUUGUCCUUCCCAGUAAUAUGCUUAAAUUCUGGAUUUAGUGACUUAAUAUAAGCAAUCCAUCUCAACAUUGCAAUAUCUGGCGUUGAACAGUUAAUAAUCAUUCCAAGCAAUGGCAAGCAAUCUGUUUCAAUUACUACUGCUACCCAAAUCAAAUAAUCCUUUUCAGCUUUCAUAGCCGAAACGACUCCCCAAAGUUCUCUUUUGACUUGCGAAUAUGCACGCUGACGAAUACUUAAAACUUUAGCCCCAAACCGAACUGCAAAUCUAUCCCCACUGGAAUCAUCUUGACCCAUAGCCCAUCCAAUGGCAAUUGGACUAGCGUCCACAGUAAGAAUCACUGGUCUAUUGCACUUAUAAUUAACCUUCCUCAAUAUUGGAGGUGACAUCAAUAAUUUCUUCAAUCUUUGCAUUGCAUGAAUAUGCCUUUCUUCCCAUUUAAAUCGGUAACCCUUGCGUAACAGUUCAUAUAAUGGAUCCGCUAUGUGAGCAAAAUGAGGGAUCUAGAUUCGAUAAAAUACACAUGCACCCAAAAACUUGCGAACCUCUGUUAAAGAAUCACAAUCCUCUUUCAUCCUUUCAAUUGCAUCAACUUUAGUCGGAUCUGGUUUUCUUCCGUAAGAUCCACAUAAAUGUCCAACAAUUACAACCUCUCGUACUCUAAAUACGGACUUCAUACCCGAUAAUGUAAGAUGAACUUCUCCAAGCCGAGUUAAAAUCUUUUCACAAUCUUGUAUAUGAUCAACAACAUAUCUGCGACACCUCCUCGUAUCUAAAGUUUCAUCCUUGUCUCCUUCUCUGCACCCUUUUAUAGGAACAUCAUCCAGAAAAGGCAUAGUCUUUUCCGGAAUAAAAUCUCUCAAUACCUUAUUCAUCCCAUUCAUCAUAUGCGCAACUGAGUUGGUCGCGCCUUGAGGAAGAGUGCACAUUCUAACCAAUCCAAGUGGUGUCCUCAUUGUUGUCAUAUCUCUACUUCCUUCAGCAAGUUGAAAUUGAUCAUAACCUGAAUACAAGUCACCCAUUGAAUAGAUUGCCCUUCUAGCAAACGCCUUAGCAAAUUCAUCUACAAUAGGCCCAAUUCUUGCAUUCCUGACAGUUAAUGCAUUCACCAGUUGCAUAUCUUGAAUAAACCGUAGUGACCCAUUCUUCUUAGGUACCGUAAACCAUCGACUAGAAUACGGCGCAAAUGAGGGUUCCAAUAUUUUCAUCUUUAUCUUUUUUUUUAACAGUUCAACCAAUUUAGGUAAAUCUGUCCUCGGUAGUGGAAUCGGUCUUAGAUUCCAAGGUACAUGUGGUACAGUGAAGAUAACCAUAUGUGUUACAAUAUUUGGAUCCACACACCCAAUUUCAUGAGAUUCGAAGGCAAACGAUCUACCUUGUUUAGCCAACAUCUUUUUGAAGCAAGUAAUUUCCUUCGGUAAUAAAGAACCAUCAGAACCAAUCUUCAAUUCUUCAAAAGUCUCUUUAGUAAACUGAUGUCCAAUACUCAUUGGAUCUCUUAAACUUGCUUCUUUUGAUGCUUCUCCCAUUUAUUCUUUAGAAUCUUCUGGUAAUGGUUCGGCAACAGGCUUUACCUUCUUAUCUACCGUUUUAUAUCUCGUCUCUACAGUGACUUCUGGUGCUUGAAAAGAUUCAAGUACGGUAUAAACCUCUCUUGAAUGAAUCUCAACAAUCUUAUCAUUAUCCCCUAACCCAAUAGAUGUAAUCAAUUCCAAUGAAUCUUCCAGUCCAUUUUCUUCAUAAACACCUAAAAUCCUCUCAUCAUCUUGUAAUGUACCUAACUUGCGUAAUUAUUCUUCAAUAUCAUAUAAUCUUUUUCUUUCUUUUCUUUUAAAAUCAUCAACUUUCUUAUACAUAAUAUUUCCAUUCUCCGAUAUACCAAUAAAACUGGCAUCAAAGGCACCUUCAUCUCGCGAGAGUACCUCCUCUUUUGUACCUCCAUAAUCUCGCUUUACAGUGGUACCUUUCCAAAAUCCUUAAAUCCUUCAACAAUCUUUGGCAAUGGUUUCUCCCUCAACCUAUCUCGAUUCCGUUCAUGGUUAGGAGGUACUGUUAGAAAUUGUACAACUUUCCUCCCAUCCUGGCUACAUACCCUUGCAUAAGCAGAGCCAUCUUCAGGUACUUUUGUUUCCAUCCGUGUUGCUGUAAUAUAAGGUUGUCCUAAAAUCAACGGAUAAGACAUUGUAUCCUGAACAAAGAAAUGUUGCUCCGUCGCAACAUCCCCAAUCCAAAUUUUGACAUCUGGACAAGCUCCAUAUAAUUCGCCCUGUGUGUUAUUAGCUGCUCGAAUUGUCCAUCCAUGUUCCAUAUCAAUUGGCCAUUUUGGCUUCUUAUAAAGAUCUUUAGACAUGAGAUUUAUUUCAGAACCAUGGUCGACUAAAGCAACAAUUGGUUCUUCUAUAUCUCCUACUUUCACCAAUACCUCAGUAGUUGCCCUUGCCUAAUACUUUCGAGUAUAAUGGCUCAAAGUUCCCAUUUCCUUGUCACUAAAAUCUUCGAAACGUACUCGUUGAUUAUACCCAUUCUUUUUAUUUGUUGGUUGCUUGUAACCAAUAUCAACCUCUUCUUCAUCUUUAUAUAUUCUUGCAUCAAUAGCAUGACUCAUUCUAGUUUCGCCCAUUAAUUGCUUCUUUCGCUUAAUGCUAUCAAUGAUAACAUCAUGAAACUCUUUCUUUGCAAUUCUCAAGACUUCUUUCAAUGUGAAUUCCACCUUAGCGUUUAAUAUACGUUCUUCCAACACCCCUUUCAAAUUUGUUGCCGCUUCAAUGUCAGAAAGUAGUUUAUAAGCAAUUGAUUUGCCCUUAUCUUUUGUCUCCUUUGUUUUUUCUUCCAAUGAUGCUGAGGUAUCCUUUACAGGCAAUUCUUGUGAAGCUGCCUCCCGAGCCUUGUCUCCUCGAGUUUGCCUCUUAGAAGAAUUUCCUUCUCUAGUAUCAUCAAAAUUUCCUCGUCUCUUUUCUUCCAUCAAAGCUUCAUGUUGGCUCUUAGCAAUAUAUGCAUGAACUGAAAGAGACUCAACAGGAUCCUCCCAACCUGUUCUACCUCGUAUUAUAGUUGCAGUUCCUAAUAACGCUUCUCGAGGUAAUUUCCCUUCUUGCAUUGUAGAAACAGCAGAAGCCCAAAACUCACUAGUUUCCGUACUUCCACCAAUUUCAUCAUCUACUCUAGCACCAUAACUUGUACUUUCUCGUGCUGCUGUUUCAUGUUCUUUUAGGUAAUCUUGAACCAAUGCUCUCAUUCCUCCCUUGCCAAAAUUGGUUUGAAGAAGUUCCUCUCUAUUUUUCAAUGCUAUCUUCCCAUCUUUCCAGCAAAUAAUUCCUUGCCAUAUCAUAUUAUUAAAUUCAUUGCAAUCUUUUCUAGUGUGUGAAGCAUCAUCACACCAAAUGCAUCUUUGUACGUAUCCUUGUUUUGAAACAUUCUUCGAAUUGUUUAUAGAAGUAUUCUCUUCAAGUCUUGCCAAUUUGAUUUGAAGAUCUCGCAUUCCUCGUAUAAUUUCUUCCAUCCCCAUAUCUGCUUUCUUUGAUAAGGAUGUUGAAGGUUGAACUGUAGGCAUUGUUGGUGGUGUUGUACGUACUGGAGCUUUGGGUGCUUGUAUUGUUUUCAAAAUAUUGCUUCUAUCAUUCUUCCUUUCUCUUUUUGUAAGCAACUCCACCGCAUCUUCAACGUUCUUCUACUUUGUUGUCAAUCCUUCAUCUUCUUCUUUGUCUUCAAGAAGAAGUUCUAAUUUCCCUUACAAUUCUCCAUCAGCAGCUUGAAGAAAUAGAUCAACUUUGUUCGGCUCCAAUGUCAAUUUUUCUACCUUUGAUAAUUGAGAGUACUGCCUCUCAAAUUCCCUUAGUAGCUCUGUUGCUUGCAAAUUCUUAUUGGGCCGUUCAAUCCAUUCUAGAAACAGCUUUUUAGUAACGUGAUCAACAUCUUCCAAGAAAUAUUCGUCUUUCAAUGCAUGUGGAAAAACCUCCAUGAAUUCCCAUAACGAUCCGUAAUCGAUGUAAUGUGAACUCUUAUCUCCGGUAUCGUGGCAAGUCCAAAUAGUGCAACAAUUUUUUUCUCAGAAACCCGAUUUAAUUCCAUUUCACGAACAUAACAUCUUAAAUACCUUGAAAUAUUCCUCCCAUCAAAUUGAUCAAUUUUAUUGACCACUACUUGCAAUGCUUUGGUUGCCAAAGCUUCCUUUUGAUCAUUGCUUUGCUGUUGCUGCAUUGAUAAUGAGAAGGCUUGAAAUAUACUAGCAAUAGACGAAUCCAUGUGCAUACCUUGUCCUUUAGAAGACUCCCCACCAGAAACUCCUCCCAAAAAUCCUUCAAAAUUUUUAUUUUCGUUUUCCAUAAAAUAAAGAUAAAAUCAACCAAAAUCCAAUACCUUCCACCUCAAGCUUUCACGUCGGAUUCACCACUUUUAUCGUAUUACGUGCUUUCCUUCUUGAGAAUGCGCCGGACGUUUGGCUGUAGAAGGUAGUAUGGAGAUUCGCCAAUAGUCAAGCAGUCUAUCAGUUUUUGACUGCUGGAAUAUAAACGACUGCAAGAAUACACCGUAAAUCUAUACGGAUGCCCUUCUACUGCUUGUCGAAGUCCUUUUUGCCCCAACCGGUAGGUCUCUAGACGUUAUAGAGAACCCCGAACAACCCAAUCUUCUAAUCUUCGAUACCGCUUUCUACUUACGAUCUUUUAUCCACUUACUGUGUUGUUAGAUUAACCCAAUAAAUUUUAUUCACUCCGCAUACUCAAUCCUAUAGAUACCUUUUUAAUCCUUCAAUCACAGACGUAACUCGAUUUCAUAAAAUAGUCAAGAGUAAUCAAACCCACUUCAUUAGAAAAAAUCCCGAUUCACCAUUACAACACUGACUUCAGCAACGAUUGCCUCAGUCUUCCCAAAACUCUAUGAAGAAGAAAAAUCCAAUUCUCCGUCUUUUCUUCCCCGACCCGAAGCAUGAAGCUCGUCUCCAAUCCCCUUGAUCUUCAAAAACCUCCAAUGAAAAAAAACUCGUAACCUUCCCAAGAGCUUGAAGCUAGCUCUUUCCUGA
rnacentral:lncRNA from 1 species